GCUGGCGGCGUGCCUAAUACAUGCAAGUCGAACGCUUUUUCUUUCACCGGAGCUUGCUCCACCGAAAGAAAAAGAGUGGCGAACGGGUGAGUAACACGUGGGUAACCUGCCCAUCAGAAGGGGAUAACACUUGGAAACAGGUGCUAAUACCGUAUAACACUAUUUUCCGCAUGGAAGAAAGUUGAAAGGCGCUUUUGCGUCACUGAUGGAUGGACCCGCGGUGCAUUAGCUAGUUGGUGAGGUAACGGCUCACCAAGGCCACGAUGCAUAGCCGACCUGAGAGGGUGAUCGGCCACACUGGGACUGAGACACGGCCCAGACUCCUACGGGAGGCAGCAGUAGGGAAUCUUCGGCAAUGGACGAAAGUCUGACCGAGCAACGCCGCGUGAGUGAAGAAGGUUUUCGGAUCGUAAAACUCUGUUGUUAGAGAAGAACAAGGAUGAGAGUAGAACGUUCAUCCCUUGACGGUAUCUAACCAGAAAGCCACGGCUAACUACGUGCCAGCAGCCGCGGUAAUACGUAGGUGGCAAGCGUUGUCCGGAUUUAUUGGGCGUAAAGCGAGCGCAGGCGGUUUCUUAAGUCUGAUGUGAAAGCCCCCGGCUCAACCGGGGAGGGUCAUUGGAAACUGGGAGACUUGAGUGCAGAAGAGGAGAGUGGAAUUCCAUGUGUAGCGGUGAAAUGCGUAGAUAUAUGGAGGAACACCAGUGGCGAAGGCGGCUCUCUGGUCUGUAACUGACGCUGAGGCUCGAAAGCGUGGGGAGCGAACAGGAUUAGAUACCCUGGUAGUCC
rnacentral:rRNA from 1 species